CAGAGGGUGCGAGCGUUAAUCGGAAUUACGUGGGCGUAAAGCGCGCGUAGGCGGCUUUGCAAGUCGGGUGUGAAAUCCCCAGGCUUAACCUGGGAACUGCAUUCGAGACUGCAUUGCUAGAGUAUGGGAGAGGGAAGUGGAAUUUCCGGUGUAGCGGUGAAAUGCGUAGAUAUCGGAAGGAACAUCAGUGGCGAAAGCGACUUCCUGGACCAAUACUGACGCUCAUGUGCGAAAGCGUGGGGAGGCAAACAGGAUUAGAUACCCUGGUAGUCCACGCCAUAAACGAUGAGAACUGGAUGUCGGGGAGGGUCUGCCUCUCGGUGUCGUAGCUAACGCGUUAAGUUCUCCGCCUGGGGGAGUACGGCCGCAAGGUUG
rnacentral:rRNA from 1 species